rnacentral:rRNA from 1 species
AGCGCAGGCGGUUUCUUAAGUCUGAUGUGAAAGCCUUCGGCUUAACCGGAGAAGAGCAUCGGAAACUGGGGGGACUUGAGUGCAGAAAAGGACAGUGGAACUCCAUGUGUAGCGGUGAAAUGCGUAGAUAUAUGGAAGAACACCAGUGGCGAAGGCGGCUGUCUGGCCUGUAACUGACGCUGAGGCUCGAAAGCAUGGGUAGCGAACA